GGCCUAGUGGUUUAGUGGUAUAAUUUGCGCUUCGGGUGCGCGAGGUCCCGGGUUCAAUUCCCGGCUAGGCCC